GAUGAACGCUGGCGGCGUGCUUAACACAUGCAAGUCGAACGGAAAGGCCCAAGCUUGCUUGGGUCCUCGAGUGGCGAACGUGUGAGUAACCCGUGGGUGAUCUGCCCCGCACUUCGGGAUAAGCCUGGUAAACUGGGUCUAAUACCGGAUAGGACAGUGUUCUGUAUGCCAUUGUGUAAAGUUUUUUCGGUGUGGGGUUAGCUCGCUGGCUAUCAGCUUGUUGGUGGGGUAAUGGCCUACCAAGGCGUCUACGGGUAGCCGGGCUGAGCGGGUGUACGGCCACAUUGGGACUGAGAGACGGCCCAGACUCAGACGGGAGGGAGCAGUGGGGAAUAUUGCACCAUGGGCGCGAGCCUGAUGCAGCGACGCCGGGUGGGGGAUGACGGCCUUCGGGUUGUAAACUACUUUCGCUAGGGGCGAAGCGUUAUGUGACGGUACCUAGAGAAGAAGCACCGGCUAACUACGUG
rnacentral:rRNA from 1 species